GUCGCAUGGCUGCUAUUUUGGUUUUCCCACUGCUCGGCUCAAAUAUUGAAUUAUUCAUUUCAUAAAAUCGACUAAGAGAUAUGAUAUAAUCAAUCGAUUGAUUAAAGUGAUAUAUAACACAAUCAGUACUUUUUUAUAAUUUAAAUAUAUCUUAAAUUUAGUUCGUGAUAUAAAAAUAUUUACAAAAUUUCAUUGAAUAGAUUUUUGAGAUAAUUUUAUUGCAUAUUUUGAUAUCAAAAUCAGUUAUCUAAACCUAGACAGUUUGUUUAAUACUCAAGUAGCAGCACACUCGAAUGAUUUGAACGGAAAUUGGGACGUCUAGAUUUAGCAUGAAACGCGCUUAUUUGUGUUCAGAAGCUAGGUAAUUAGGAUGGGUUGUAGUAAAACCUUAUAAUCAUUUUUUUGUAGUGGAAUUAUUUGUCUUUCUUUCUGAAAUCAAAUGCAAGUUCGAAUUUUAUUUUUGAGGUGAGUCAGUAACAUUGGUCAAGAUUAUUUAGAAACCUGCUGUCUAUAAUGGACAUUAUAUUGGUGUGCUGUCAAUAAAUAACAUGCAUGAAGAGUUACACUAAUUUGUCCAGUAAUACAUAAUAGUUGUAGCAUGAACACGUGAUGAAUAAUGUGCGUAAAAUUGCCAAGCUAGAGCGUCUGGGCAUUAUCUGAUUUAAUGCGGAUACUUUUCACUGUCCGAAGGUUCAAAGGUCAUCUUUUGUACAACGGUAUUCAUAGUUUUGGAACAAAACAACGCUUUACAGAAAACAUUUGCAAGGAUAUUAGCAUCAAUUCUUAAAAGGACGUAUGCACCAUUUUUAAGAAAGGAAACGUAAAAUAUAUCAAGGUUACUGGUGGUGAAAAUGAGCUGAAAAGAAAGAAACAGACCAGUAGUAAUAAAGAAAUCACAGCUGAGGUUGCUGUGAUUGAAUGGACAAAGAAAAGGGUGUUUAUUUGAAUUCUUGCUGAUAAUGGUAAAUGGAGUUUUCAAAAAGGCCAGUUGGAUGCGGUUUCAAUAUAAAGUUUGCAUUGCGAAAGCUUAACAAGAAAGAUGAACUUGAAAUUGACUUAAGUUAUAUGAUACCUAAUUUUUGUGAGAAAAUCAACAGAGACACAAAUUUAUUGGCGGCGACGGAAAGGGACUAUACCAUCAAACGUGUAACAGCUUACUUUACUCUAAGUAAAACACUGUUUGUUUUAAUUUAUGGACCAUCAUGAACAUAUGUUAUGAUCCGUAAUUGUGGCAUGUAUGCAAUUUUGCGUUUUGUUCAUAUCUGAUUCAUUUGAUUGAUAUUAUUGUGUUGUUUUAGAUGCUGUAUUGUAAACUUCUAUAUAACAGAAACUGAAUACAAAAUCUCUUGCACCAUUUAUAUAGUAAUUUGCCUUAUUAAUUAUAAAUGUCUACAUUUGAAAGGAACGAAAGUAAAUCAUUCUGCAAAUGUUGUAGCUAUUUCUAAAACUAAAUGUAUUCAAAAUACCAUUUCCACGUAAUAUUUCUGUUUCAGAACUCAUUUAAAUAGAACAUUAGAAAUCUAAUAUCUGAUUUACCUUUAAAUUGUUCUAUUUGUAUUAAAACAUAUAACAGGAUAUUGAACAGCUAACGCGCGUAUUAGUAUCGUUAUGUAAUACAGUUUAAAGC